rnacentral:rRNA from 1 species
AUUGAACGCUGGCGGCAUGCCUUACACAUGCAAGUCGAACGGUAACAGGUCUUCGGAUGCUGACGAGUGGCGAACGGGUGAGUAAUACAUCGGAACGUGCCCGAUCGUGGGGGAUAACGAAGCGAAAGCUUUGCUAAUACCGCAUAAGAUCUACGGAUGAAAGCAGGGGACCGCAAGGCCUUGCGCGAACGGAGCGGCCGAUGGCAGAUUAGGUAGUUGGUGGGAUAAAGCUUACCAAGCCGACGAUCUGUAGCUGGUCUGAGAGGACGACCCGCCACACUGGGACUGAGACACGGCCCAGACUCCUACGGGAGGCAGCAGUGGGGAAUUUUGGACAAUGGGCGAAAGCCUGAUCCAGCCAUGCCGCGUGCAGGAUGAAGGCCUUCGGGUUGUAAACUGCUUUUGUACGGAACGAAAAGACUCUUUCUAAUAAAGAGGGUCCAUGACGGUACCGUAAGAAUAAGCACCGGCUAACUACGUGCCAGCCGCCGCGGUAA